rnacentral:rRNA from 1 species
UGGGGAAUAUUGCGCAAUGGGGGAAACCCUGACGCAGCGACGCCGUGUGAGGGAAGAAGGCUUUCGGGUCGUAAACCUCUGUCGGGAGGGAAGAACCUCCCGGGUCUGAACAAGACCCGGGACUGACGGUACCUCCAAAGGAAGCACCGGCUAACUCCGUGCCAGCAGCCGCGGUAAUACGGAGGGUGCAAGCGUUAAUCGGAAUCACUGGGCGUAAAGCGCGCGUAGGCCGCCUUCUAAGUCGGACGUGAAAGCCCUCGGCUCAACCGAGGAACUGCGUUCGAAACUGGGAGGCUUGAGUCCUGGAGAGGGUGGCGGAAUUCCGGGCGUAGGAGUGAAAUCCGUAGAUAUCCGGAGGAACACCGGUGGCGAAGGCGGCCACCUGGACAGGUACUGACGCUGAGGCGCGAAAGCGUGGGGAGCAAACA